UAGGGAAUAUUGGACAAUGGGGGCAACCCUGAUCCAGCCAUGCCGCGUGAGUGAAGAAGGCCCUCGGGUUGUAAAGCUCUUUUGUCCGGAAAGAAAAGCUUCGGGUUAAUACCCCGGGGUUCUGACGGUACCGGAAGAAUAAGCACCGGCUAACUUCGUGCCAGCAGCCGCGGUAAUACGAAGGGUGCAAGCGUUACUCGGAAUUACUGGGCGUAAAGCGUGCGUAGGUGGUUGUUUAAGUCUGAUGUGAAAGCCCUGGGCUCAACCUGGGAAUGGCAUUGGAAACUGGGCAGCUAGAGUGCGGUAGAGGGUAGUGGAAUUCCCGGUGUAGCAGUGAAAUGCGUAGAGAUCGGGAGGAACAUCUGUGGCGAAGGCGACUGCCUGGACCAGUACUGACACUGAGGCACGAAAGCGUGGGGAGCAAACA
rnacentral:rRNA from 1 species